rnacentral:piRNA from 1 species
UACAUUCUAGGUGUUCAAUAACCCAGAGGC